CAUGCUGUGAAUUUACAGUAUAAAGUCUGACCAGAUUAAAGGUAAUAAUGGAAAUGAUGAUCUCGCUGUCUCAAAGGAGCGAAGUGUUCACUGAAGUGUUCUCAACAUAAUGUAAAUCUAAGCCAAAAAUUUUCACAUUCGAUUUGUCGUCGAUAAAAAAAUAACAAAGCAAACUGGAACCGACAACGAAAAA